CCGGCACCGGUUCACCGCGCGGCAGCGGCCGCGUGGACCCGGCGGCC
rnacentral:ncRNA from 1 species